GUGGACAGGAGGAGGACCUAAGUGGACCCGGAGGCUGAGCUGGCCUCGCAGCACUGGUGGUGGGGGAGGGCUGAUGGUCAGGACUCUGGGUCUUUGGCACUGCUGCCUAGGCCGUGGCCCUCAGUCUGCCCAUCUGUGAAAUGAGGGGGAGCUGGUCCUGACUGCCUCCCAGGGACCCUGUGAAAAGCCGCUCUGAACUCCUUGCCAGAGAGGAGGUUUGCCGGUGCCACAAUCCAGCAUUUCUGGGGUUCACUCUGCUCUGGGUACUGUGUAAAGGACUCCACAGCCAUCAACUUCCCUUCAUCCUUGCCGUGUCUUUGAAAGAGCUGAGAUUUCUUUACAUCACAGUGGUUCAAGGAGAAAAACACAGCCAGAUCCUUCCUCAUCUCAACAUAAAUUAAACCCAGAGGCAGUCAGCGCCACAGUCCACACUCGUAACCGUUACACUCACCUGGAAAUAAAAGUAUUUUUGUGCGGGGACUGCAAGGACUAAGCCCGGCCGCACUCCGAGUUUCUCCUCCUCACAGACUGGAUGAUGAGAGGCACAGCUGAGUCCGGAGCAGACUGAGCCACCUAAGAGGGGAGGAACCGCUGCAGAGAAACCGUGUUAAGCCUUUUUGAAGUUCCAGAGGGAGAACAAGAGAGCGGAGGCUCCUGGUGGCUGGUGACAGGAGCCUGCAGAGCCACUGCCCUGACAGGGGACACCUCACUUCCUCUCCUUGCAGCUGCUCUUGGCUGGGAGAGCAGAGAACAGGGGACAGGAGAGAAGCCCCGAGAGUACUGAAGCUGAGGCUGGGGCGGUCUUCACUUCCCUCUUUCCUCGGCCCUUUUCCUGUUCUCUUGUCUUGUCUCUCUUUCUCUACUUUCCUUCUCCCUAGCCCAGUCUCUCACCGCUCUUCAGCCUCUGGGCCUUUCCUUCUUCCUCUCUUGCCCUCAUUCUUCCUUCUCUGUCCCUCUUGUCUUCUCUUUUACCUCUUCUCUUCUUCCCUCCUUCCUACAGCUAUGCCCUCUUCCCUCCUUUCUCUUGUCCCCAACCAGGGCAUUAGAAAUGCAUUCCAGUUACACUGAUCUGAUCACUGCAUAUUGUAUGCAUGCAUCAAAAUAUCACAUGUACCCCAGAAAUAUGUAAAUUACUGCAUAUCAAUAAAAAGAAAUGUAGCUUCUUUGCCUCACA
rnacentral:lncRNA from 1 species